rnacentral:rRNA from 1 species
UCGGGAAUUUUGGGCAAUGGGCGAAAGCCUGACGCAGCAACGCCGCGUGAGUGAUGAAGGCCUUCGGGUUGUAAAGCUCUUUCAGACGGAAAGAAACGGUUACGGCUAAUACCCGUGACUAAUGACGGUACCGUAAGAAGAAGCACCGGCUAACUACGUGCCAGCAGCCGCGGUAAUACGUAGGGUGCGAGCGUUAAUCGGAAUUACUGGGCGUAAAGCGUGCGCAGGCGGUUUGGUAAGACAGAUGUGAAAUCCCCGGGCUUAACCUGGGAACUGCAUUUGUGACUGCCAGACUAGAGUGUAGCAGAGGGGGGUAGAAUUCCACGCGUAGCAGUGAAAUGCGUAGAUAUGUGGAGGAAUACCGAUGGCGAAGGCAGCCCCUGGGCUAACACUGACGCUCAUGCACGAAAGCGUGGGGAGCAAACAGGAUUAGAUACCCCCGUAGUCCCUGAGCGGGCUGGCAAGGCGCAU